GAUGAACGCUGGCGGCGUGCCUAAUCCAUGCAAGUCGAGAGAAGCGGGGACGGGAGAGUAACACGUGGAUAACCUCCUAUAAGACUGGGAUAACUUCGGGAAACCUGAGCUAAAACGGAUACUUAUAGAGCGAUCCACACUGCAUUAGCUAGUUGGUAAGGUAACGGCUUACCAAGGCAACGAUGCAUAGCCGACCUGAGAGGGUGAUCUGCCACACUUGACCUAAGACACUGUCCAGACUCCUACGGGAGGCAGCAGUAGGGAAUCUUCCGCACUGGGCGAAAGCCUGACGGAGCAACGCCGCGUGAGUGAUGAAGGUCUUCGGAUCGUAAAACUCUGUUAUUAGGGAAGCGGUACCUGAAUAGAAAGCCACGGCUAACUACGUGCCAGCAGCCGCGGUAAUUC
rnacentral:rRNA from 1 species